GACGAACGCUGGCGGCGUGCCUAAUACAUGCAAGUAGAACGCUGAAGGAGGAUCUUGCUCUUCUGGAUGAGUUGCGAACGGGUGAGUAACGCGUAGGUAACCUGCCUGGUAGCGGGGGAUAACUAUUGGAAACGAUAGCUAAUACCGCAUAACAGUAGAUGUUGCAUGACAUUUGCUUAAAAGGUGCAAUUGCACCACUACCAGAUGGACCUGCGUUGUAUUAGCUAGUUGGUGGGGUAACGGCUCACCAAGGCGACGAUACAUAGCCGACCGGAGAGGGGGAUCGGCCACACUGGGACUGAGACACGGCCCAGACUCCUACGGGAGGCAGCAGUAGGGAAGCUUCGGCAAUGGACGGAAGUCUGACCGAGCAACGCCGCGUGAGUGAAGAAGGUUGUCGGAUCGUAAAGCUCUGUUGUAAGAGAAGAACGAGUGUGAGAGUGGAAAGUUCACACUGUGACGGUAUCUUACCAGAAAGGGACGGCUAACUACGUG
rnacentral:rRNA from 1 species